rnacentral:lncRNA from 1 species
AUCACAUGUCCGAACCAUCGCAACCUCACUUCCCGCAUCUUUUCUUAACUUGCAAUUAACACCAACAGUCAGUUUUAGGACCUUUUCUCGUUUGUUUUGCUAACUCAGUUCACUGGUAGACUAAAGUUGUCCACUUUCGCAAAGAUAAGGGAUGUUUUAUAUUCAAUAGUAUAAAGAAGGGAUAAAAAUACAAAGGACUACCUCAUUCUUGUCCUCACCUCUAACAACAAAAAAAGCAUACCCAGUAUAAUCUAACAAAGUAGGGUUUGGGGAGGGUAGAAUGUACGCAGACCUUACCUCUACCUCAAAGGUAGGGUUUGUGGAGGGUAGAAUGUACUCAGACCUUACCUCUACCUCAAAGGUAGGGUUUGUGGAGGGUAGAAUGUACUCAGACCUU